GCUAAUAAAGUAUUAAUCUCGUCAACUUCAAAGUAUGCAAAAUUUCAGUUCAAAAUGAUCCGACUUUCCACAAUUUUUACAAUAUUUCUGAUUACUUCAAUUCAGUACACGAUAUCAUCGAAUGAACCUACAGAGAAAAACUGUAGCUGUAAAACCACUACUAAUGGGACGAAUACAGUUGUGAAUGAUACAGCCACCGGAUCCACUUGCGUUUUGAAACCGACUGGGCGACAGUUUUGUCCUCAACCUUCCGAAUCGAAAGUACCUCCAAACUGUAUUCCAUUUCCAGACCUCCCUUCUAUGCCUCCUCCUGAUAAAGCUAUCUACACUACAAACGUAAAUCCAUCACCAACAAGCCAAUGUCGCAGCUGCGGUAUGCAAUUGACAUCAAAUGGAAGCGGCGUAAUUCUUCAUUGUGUUCAAUGUUUUGAGCAAUCAACUUCAAAACAACGUCGAAAAAGCAAUGCCUAAAAGCUGUAAGCCAAAUCUAGAACAUUGAAAAAUAAAGCAAAUAAGUUAGUAACUAGCAAAUUUUUGUAAUCAUUUUCCCAUCAUUUCAAUAAUUUUCCAAUAUCAUACAAAAAGAAAACAAAUAUUCAAUCAAAAAUAGCGAGGAGAGUGCUAUCAGUGGUCGCAUUCUUUUUAAAACUGUCAGAAGCAAUACGGCUUUGUCAAGCGUCUCGCCAGUUCCAUUGUGAUAUCGUCUAUUCGAACCUUCAUUAUCUAAGUUGAAGCGCUGAAGAAGCUUGACAAAAUAAUGCAGAUAUUGUUUUAUUGGUGCAAAAUUACACUCCUGAAUUCGGGCGAACAGGCUUAAGAGAAUCUAAGAAGAGAAUCAUUCUAGUUAGAUUAAUUACCCACAAGACAAAUAAAGCAAACGUAAUCUAAGCUAGAUUGCAAAACAUGAAUAUAUUGUUGACCGAUGUUGGUUUAUCUAAUCUAAUGGAAUACUAAAUUAUUUCCGUGUCUCCACAGAUAAUAAAAACUUA